GGUUAACGCUGGCGGCGUGCCUAACACAUGCAAGUCGAACGGUUCUAAGCGCGAGCUUAGGAUAGUGGCGAACGGGUGAGUAAAAGGUAGGAAUCUACCCCUUGGACGGAGAUAGCUACUGGAAACGGUAGGUAAACUUCGAUAAGCCCGAGAGGGGAAAGUGGUGAGACAGCCGAGGGAUGAGCCUACUCUCCAUCAGGUAGUUGGUGAGAUAAAAGCUUACCAAGCCGAUGACGGAUAACCGGUGUGAGAGCAUGAACGGUCACAAGGGCACUGAGAGACGGGCCCUACUCCUACGGGAGGCAGCAGUGGGGAAUUUUGGACAAUGGGCGAAAGCCUGAUCCAGCCAUUCCGCGUGCAGGAUGAAGGCCCUCGGGUUGUAAACUGCUUUUGUACGGAACGAAACGGUCCUGGUUAAUACCUGGGGCUAAUGACGGUACCGUAAGAAUAAGCACCGGCUAACUACGUG
rnacentral:rRNA from 1 species